AUACUUACCUGGCAGGGAAUGAAACAAUGACCAGGAAGUUUGUGUUUCCCGGGAUGAGGCUAUCCCAUUGCACUUCGGGUGUGCUGACGGCUGCGAUAUCUCCACGUGGGUUACUCGACUGCAAAAUUUGUGGUAGUGGGGGACUGCUUUUGCGCUCUUCCCUC